GCUCUUAUGGCCAAGUUGGUAAGGCACCUCACUAGUAAUGAGGAGAUCAUAGGUUCG
rnacentral:tRNA from 1 species